CACAUAUCUACCUAUGCUUCCCCAUUCACACACAAUUACCCACAGUUCUACGUAUUCUCCCAAAAUCACACACAACCCCACACUUCGACUUGUGCUUCCACAAUCACACACAACCCACAUUUUCUUUUUCUUUUUUUUAACUUAUGUUUUUUAUUUAUUUUUGCAGGUUUCAAAAAUGUCCAAACAUGCAACAUGGAAACAUUGCUUGAGAGAAAGAGAAAAGAAGAGGGAAGAGGAGCUGAGAAAAGAUGGUCUGUGCGGUCUCCUAGUUGCCUCACCUACAGAUGCAGUUCAACAACAACCCUUUUGAAGUCGCCUGGAGGUCUGUUCGCAGGGUGGUUUCAGAAGAUCUUGGAGCGGUAACCCUUCAAUGGGGGAAAGAGCUUGGAAGAUUCUUCCUAUAGAUGAAAAAACAGAUGGUUGAACUUAAUCGUGUGCAGGAGUUAAUUUGUGCUCUAUUAGAACAGGAGUCCCCAACCUUUUUUUUUUUUUUUUUUACCUGUGAGCCGCAUUGAACUGUAAAAAGAGUUGGGAAGAACACAAUCAUGAAAAAAUUUUGGUAGCCGGUAUGUGGCCUGACAGUCUAAACAAGGCUCUGUUGAUUUCAUGCAAGCAAAACUUGUUCAACGGACUCAUCUGGACCCCAAUCAUAUGCCUUCUUAUUCACAAGCGGAAUCCUGUUGCUGCUAUUCCCAUCCAGUAUUAGGGGGCAUGUAUCACUAUCAGUUGGAUGAGAAACACUCUGCCCUGUGAGUUAUAAAGCUCAUUAAGACUACAAAGUAUUUUCAGCCUUUCUAUAGAUUCCUUCAUUAUUAAUUACAAGUAUAAUUUGUAUUAACUGCUGCUGUGAAAUACCAGCCAGGUGGCAACUGUACACCAUAUGUUCAAGCGUUCCUACACUUUGUGUUUCUUUUGUUAAUAA